UUUAAAACCACUUGGCAGUUGC
rnacentral:siRNA from 1 species